UUGCGUUCCACUAUCUUUUUUCUUUCGUACGCAUGCGAACACAAAUGUCAAAAUCAGUCACUUGUGUGUUUGCUGUCGUAUGAUAACAAUUAAGGAAAAUUGUUUUAACAUAAACAUUGCUUGAUUGAAAAUGGAAAAAUCACGAAAAAAUCAUCAACUACACAGCUGCGGGCACUAGUUGAGUAUAUGGAGGAGAAUCCUGUUGCGUUCCUCUGUGAGUGUCGGCUUUUUUACCCAUUGGCCGCAAAUAUGGUUCUCAAAAAUCUGCAGACAUUCCGCAAUGGUUCUGCUCACUGUCGACUUCGCUGUUAAAGUCAAGGCUUCGUUCCCUAAAUUCUGUUGGUAGCUUCCUCUCGCCAAAAACCGCAAGAAUGUGCCAAGUUUUAAAUCGGGCGGAUUUGGGUAGUUCUGCAACCGGGCACUUCUCUUCCAUCAUAUCCAAAAGAACCCGAAAAACUUCCUUCGACACACGAAAAUUGGCCACAAACCUAAAAAAAUUCAUUUUUUAUUACUUCAAAAAUGUAAAAAUACAAUUAUACUUACUGGUUGUUAGGUACUUCAAAUAAACUCGAAGCAUCUCUUAAAUGCCUCCGUGGCACAUUCUGAACCUCCUCCACAUCAUCCAUAAAAAAUAGGGCUAUAGAAAUAUUCAUUUUUUUUUAUUUUUUAAGAACACAAAUAGUUUGAACACAAUCACUAGAAAUUUUUUUGUUUGUUUAUUUACAAUUUGUUUGUUUACAACUGAACUGUCAGUUGAGACAGUGCCACUGCGUCUUUUUCGGGGUUAAAUUAGACAUUUGGCGCUUUUUUUCCUUAUUUCGCGAUUAAUUUUUCCAAAAAAUAUUUAGCAACACUGAAUCAAGUAAGGCUAUGCGAAAGAAAGAACGAAAGUUAGUGGAACGCAUUCUUAUACGAAAGUGAGUGAGUAGCCUUCGUUCGCACAAAUUUUCUUUCGAGAUCGUGGAACAGGCUGAUAGUUGUUUCGUAACUAAUACACCAAUUCGGUGUUGGUGUUCUUUAGUAUAUAUGUGAUCACAUAAAAGGCGGUUCAUUAUCUUUAUAUCAUUUGGGAUCCACCCAGUCCCAUUAUACCAGGGUUUUUCGUAUAUAUUGUUUGUAAUUGAGGCAAAUUUUCUUCCUUUUGUUUCUGAUUUAAAAACAAAUUCAUCAUUCCAGUCUUCAUAAAUAUGUUCUUUGAUAGCUCUCAGAGCUUCAUUAUUAGAUAAUUUAACUUCUAGUGGAGCACCGUAUAUGCGAUUUUCGCAAUUGCAUCAGCCUCAAUGCCACAAUGGCUGGAUGUCCAGACAACAUGGCAUGAUUCAAUAUUAGAUGCAGCUAAUUUGUUGUGGAACACUGCGACCGUAUAGUUGUCACAAUUGUCAUUGAUAAGUGCUUUGCAUGCCAAAAGACUGUCAGUGAAGAACACACAUUUUUUAAAUCUAUCUCCAACAGCUAUCUCAAGAGCAUUGAAUAAAGACCAAAGCUCUCCAAACAUUGAUGAUGAUUUGAAGCCAAUUUUAAUGUAGAAUUUUUGAUCUAGAGAAUUGUUGUAGGUCGCACACCCCAUAGAGCUUGCGGAAAUAGAUGGAAUCAGAUAAUAAGUUGAGUUUGAGUUGUAGACUCUUUUGUCGUGUAAAGUUAGGAAUGUUCAUAAAGCUGUCGAAAUUUGUCUUAAACUCAUAGUAGACAUGGCUGUAAAUAGACUUCAUUACUGGAUUAUCUGAAAUAAUAUCAAACAAAGCAGUUGUUAAGGCUCUAUAUUUUGGUGGGAGUUCUUGGGCAACGGUAUACAACACAUGAGUGGGGUAGACUUUGUAACCCCAAGACACCGUCUUAAUAUAUCAUUUUGAGUGUGUCAAUUUUCUUAUUUAUGUAUUCGGGUGAGUUAGCAGUGAAUGUUCUCGCGUACUAAAGUUUGGAUCGUACCACACUUUUAUAUAUAUUUAGUGCGUUCUUUGGUUGCCACCUUUCACGGAGGCCAAGCACUAUAACAUGUUUGACCUUGAACGAAUAUCACGGCCGAUUUUUUCGUAAUGAUCCUUGACCGUCAGGGAGAUGGUUAACACUCUUCCAAUAAAUGUUAAUUUCCGUUGCUGUUUUACGGUAAAGCCAUUGAUACUUAAAUUGAUCUCUUUGUGCUGUUUUUUUUUUGCAAAGUACAUUGUAUGUGAUUUGGAUGGAUUAAAGGAGAGGUUUAAACUGUUACAGUAUCUUUUGAAGAUAAGAGUUUUCGUCUGAAGAUUUUGAGCAGCAAUCUCAAAAUCUCUAUUAUAGAAUAGGAUGAUAAAGUCGUCCGCAUACUGAAAGACCAUGGUGUUGCUGUUUUCAAUCUGGUGUAAUUCAGCAGUAUAUAUAUUGAAGACCAUCCUUGACAGUAAUCUUCCCAUUUCCCCUCACAAGUGUCCGUUCAGAUAAAAAAUUAUGUAUCCACCUACAGUAGAACCCAUUUAAAUUUAUUGGGAUAUCGUACUUAACGCAGUUGUAUGCAUUACUUAUAUCAAGAGAUAAGAUCACGGUUUCAAAUCCAUUGAUUUUAAGUAAGGACAAUCGGUGGAGUAGAUCAUUAAUACAAGUCGAGAUGGAGCGAUUCCUGACAUUAACAUUGCAACACGGGUAUAAGAGAGAUGGGUCGGAAAUUAUAAGUUUGGUCGUGAUCUUUGUUUGGUUUCGGGAUAGGAACAAUCUUGAUGCACUUCCAACUACAGCGUAUGCAAUUAUCCUCAAUAGUAUUAUUUAUGACAGUGAGAAUAACCCUCUUAAAUAUCCCCGGUAAUGCCUUAAGUAUGGAGUAAGUGACUCCGUCAACUCCUCCUGCUGACAAUUUUCAAAGUCUUCGAAUUCUAAG